CAAGUAUAUCGAAGACAGUCUGAAUGUUGAACAGGAUCUUUCAGCAAGAACACAAUAUCCAGAUAAUGAUGUGUCGUUGUCAAAUUGUUCCUACCUACAAAAAGAGGACAAAACGUGCACUGUGGUCAGAACUUUCAUUAUUCUAAAAAUAAAAUACCUGCCCCAUCAAUCCCAUUGAGCAGUAAGUUUUGUGUGCCAUUUAAUUACAUUAUCACAAGAUCUGUUGCAGGCCCACAAUAUUUGCAUACAAAUGAUUAUCAUAUACAAAAGAUCAUUAACAAUAUUGUCAGCAUAAUCAUAUGGUCUCUUCUCCAGCUGGGACUGCUUACAGGAUUGCCUAUGGUGAUGGAGCUAGGUUUGGAAAAGGGUUUCUGUGCAGCUCUGAGUGAUUUUAUCCUCAUGCAACUGCAGUUAGCAUCAAUUUUCUUCACAUUCUCACUUGGAACAAAAGCACACUACUACGGCCGUACUAUUAUCCAUGGGGGUGCUAAAGGAAUUUCUUAUUGCGCCCAUGUCUAGGAGACUGAGAUGGGAACUGAGAUGGGAACUGAGAUCAUUAACAAUAUAAGUUUGAAUUGGCCACAAGAAAAGGUUGUGUAAAUCAUAUGGUACCCACCCUCUAUACUCUAGUGUAGGCCUUUAUUAAACUGAUUUUAGUUAUGGUAAUACAUAACCCAAACCCAGCUCGAACCUUGUUCCAUUAUCUAAAAAAAACUUAACCCAAACCCAUGUAUGGUUCAGCGGCUCAAGCAAUCUUAAUAGCGAUUCAAAAUGCAAUAAGAUGAAUUCCUACUCAAAUAUAUUACCUUCAGGAAUUUUAGUAGGUCAUCACAGUUUGUUUGGGUUACUUAUAUUAGGCUUAGAGAUAUUAUAUAAUGAACUGACUGUCUGAUGAACCUGAGUCAUUGUUGUAUGGUUCUUCAUUGUAUCAUUAGUAGAGAUUGGAAAAAAACCCACAAUGAUCAAAGUGAUAACACGAUCAAUUAUCAAGCAGUUGAGAAACUGAUAGGAAAAAAUAUCAAACAUGUAGCAAUUCCGUACUCCUAACAAAAAAAACUGCAUUUGCUUUACACAACUAAGUGACUGGGAUUUGAUAGGAAUGAUCAAUAGAAAGUGUAAAGCUUAUGAACACAUAUAUAGAUCAAUGAAGAAGCACAUUGUUAGACCAAAAUGAUGACCUCAUGGUCGUAUAACUGGACUAAAACUGAACAAUUAGCAGAGUAAAUUAUACCACAUACAUGAUUCUUUGGUAAACUGUACAGGUUAUACGGAUACUAUAUCUGAGAUAUAUCACUCCUGCAUAUAGUAGGUGUACUUUUAAUAAAAACAAAAUUGAUGGCUGACACUGAAUCGAAAUGGCAGCACAAUUGUGGACAUUGUUAGCUGCUAGUGUCGACUAUGAACAGACUGAAAAGCAGUGGACUUAUUGAAUCCAUAAGUGUAGAAUGAGUUAGCUGUUGUUACUUGCAAAUGUGUAAGCUGCUUGUGAAGUACUUUUCAGUAUUAAACAUUGAAAAGAAAAAAACAGAAUUACUAUCAUAAACCAUAUUAAUCACUGCACACCUAAAAUUUUACGUGUUUCCACACUGUUGGAGAACACGUCCAUUUUAAAUCAAAGUGGCAUUGAACAUGGUAGUCCACUAACAACGGGAGGAUUAUAUUCAAAUGGAGCAACUACUAACAUGAAUGGGUGGACAUCAACAUUUCAAUAAGAAGUAUGGAUACUGACUAUUUGACAUGACUUACUCUUCAUUUGAAUUGCUACAUCUUUAUCCAUUUGGUGAAAUUGAAUCUACGUUUCAGGGCAAGUAACAUCAGUACACACCUGAAAUGAAAAGGUUUUCUUGGGCGGGUUCUUCUUGGCGGGGAUUGCUCCUCCUUCCUCGGCUCCUUCCUCAGCUUCUCCAAAGUCCACUGCUGCACACGAUUGACGCUUGAGAGAGAAGAAGAACAUAAAUCAGAACGGUUGAGGACAAGUAGCAUCAGUACACACCAAUCAUGUGUAGGUAGACUCGUAGGGGAGAAGAUGAGUCGCAGGUGGUGAAUGGGAUGGGGCAGGUUCCUGGGCGUGUAUUUAGAGGGGGUCAAGCAUGAGCGCGCAGAUAUGUUGUAGGGCAGUCGCGGAUCCGGUGGAGGCGGGUGCGGGCAUGGUUGUUUACAUGCGGCAGACACAAAUUUAGACAUGCGCAUGCGGCGGCGAGGAUCUCGCAUGGUUGUUAGGAUGGAGGCGGCUGCGCGCGUGGCGGCUGCGUCUACGGGCUGCGUUGCGCGGGGUUGGGGGCGGCUGCGCGCGAGCCGGCUGCGCGCGUGGCGGCUGCGGCUGCGCGGGGUUGGGGGCGGCCGCGCGCUGCGCGGGGAAGAAGGCGGGGGCUGAGGCGGCUGCGCGGCGUGGGGAAGGAGGCAGGGGCGGCUGCGCGCUGCGCGGGGGCGGGGUCGCGGGCGGAUGCGCGCAUGUCGCGGGCAGAUGCGCGCAUGUGGCGGGGGCGUUUGCGCGCUGAUGCGCGGGCGCGGGUUGGCGGCUGCGCGAUGCGCGGGGAAAAAGGCGGGGGUUGGUGCGGCUGCGCGCAGCGCGCUGCGUGGAGGGUUGCGCGCAUGUCGCGGGGGCGAGGAGGGAGGCAGCGGGGGCGGGGUUGGGGGCGGCUGCGGUAGCGGGAUCCGACGGUCGUGAUGACGAAAUUGGAUUGGACGGUCGGGAUACGGGGGGGGGGGCACGAUUGUGCCUGGUCUACACUACCGUCUUAAGGAUUAGUAGAUAUAUAUAUAUAUAUAUAUCCUACCACGGGGUUCUCGAAUUUUAACUAAAAUCGGUGCAUCGACAAGAGAAACGACGUAACUAAUAUGUCUAACCAGAUCCAUCCAACCAAUAGCGGAAGUAACGAAUCAGCUUACCACAUUUUAAUCUGACUCGAAGCUUGUGUGAACUGUGACAAUCUGGCGUGAAGAUGAGCAUGGCGCGUGGAGUGAAAUCAGGGUGACGUCGAGAGCGCCAGAACUGUUGUGGCGAAGUCGACGUGAGAUCAGAGACGAAGUUGAUGUCAGCAGGGUCUGCAGAGAUGUGUGCAAGGGGAGGUGAGCUCGCGGUGCCGAGAGCCGACGACUAAGUAAAGCUUGACGACCGACGACACGACAUCUCCAGUGAACGCGAGGGGAAGGCGAGCGGCUCUGGCAACGCACACGAGCUAAGUGUGAUGAACAGGAAGGAGCCCGACGUUAGCUUGAAAGAGAGAUGAGCAAGGGCGAGCUUUGUUGGGUCCUCGGCAAGCUCGACAAACGAACAAGCAGUGAAGGGCGUAUGCAUGGAGACUGAACAGAGAUGUUGUGUAUAGAGCUGUAGGUCUCACGAGAUGACGCAAGUGGCGAAAACGCGAUAUGAUAUCCGAUAAACCCGAUUUUCCUUUCUAUCAGUGAGCUCCGAUAUUUUUUCUCUAUCAGCCAAAAUUUUCAAUUUUUUUGAAUUGGCAGUAUCAAAUGUUUUCAUUGUUAAAUAUCUAAAUAUAAUCUACAUGACAAUUAAACAAACUGAGUCAUUUUUUCAAAUUUGUACCGAAAAUUUUUACCUAUCACCGAUAAAUCCGAUAAUCUUGUUUAUCGCAUAUUUUUUCCCAUUCCAUAAAAUGGACAAGCCCGUAGCGACGCACGACGGUGAGGUAUGGCAAGAAAGUGGCGUCUUUGAGCUGGAGCAGAACCACAACAGGGAGGCGUUGGUCGACGUCGUGCACAAGGAUGAGACGGAAAUAAGGAGGCAGGCCUGCGUGACGAUGGAGCUGGGCGACGUCGAUUUAAGCACGAGGAGCGAGGUGAUGUAGGGGCGAGCGAUCUUGCGCGUCGUCGAGGAGGUCGCAGGAUAGCGGCAUACAGCUCGGCGACGGGAUAAGCAGAAGGGCGAGGUUGAUGACCGGAAAUUGCAGAGGUGGCGGCUUGGGCGAUUGCCACUGGAGAAGGGGCUCGGCUGCUAGAAAGGUCCAAGCACUGAUGUGCGAACCAAUUCCUCUAGUGUCAUCAGGAAUGGAGAAGAAAUAAGAUGGCUGGAAGAUGGACACGUACGUAAUUUCUUCUCCAUGGAUAAGACUGCGUUCAGAAAAUAUCGAGGAG
rnacentral:lncRNA from 1 species